UGCUAAGCGGCGGGCGGGGGGCUCCUCCCGGAGAUCACCGGCGGCCUGCUCGCCUGUGAGUACGUGCAGCGGCCCGAAGAGGCGCGUGCUCGCAGGGGGAGGCGCCGGAUCUCGCGGGACAAGUGCGUCCACAGCGUGAGGUACCUUGUAUGGGAUGAAGUGAAGGCUGUUUUAUUAAUCAAUCAUCUUAUUAUGUGCACAAUAAGCUUUUGCUAUGCUUUCACCGUUGAUGCCCACUGGUUGGAUCAUGCUUCUGUUUACGAGCUCAUUGAAAAAAACCAUUUGCAUGGCACUCAGUCAAAGGCAAGAUUUGAAGAUUAAACAUUCCAAAGAGCAUGACAGGUUUGAAGAUUAAACAUUCCAAAGAGCAUGACAGGUAGCAUCGAUGCCACAAGUGAGGUUUGUUGCAAUUGUUGAUUCAGUGUAGCUUAUAUCAAGUGUUCCAAGUUCUACAUGUGUUGGAUUUAGAAUAUUGUGCUGGAUGCCUCCAUUCUUGCCAUUCAUAAUGAUUUAAGAGCACUGAAUUUGUCUUGGUGUUUUGAUUUGUUUUCCUUCUGCAACGACAUGAAGCUCUCAUUUUAUUUGUACCCACUUGUGCUGAAAUAUGUUGUCACUUUGCUCCUGCAAUUGACUGAUGAUUAACUUGUUUUCCCAUUUAUUUAUCUUGUAAGGAUUCUUGCUGGUUAAUCUGCCUGAUUUUAGCUGUCCAUUGCGUCUCUUAUAUUUAUAACAGCUUUCAGUGUCGUUUUACUCUACACUGGAAUGAAAUUUUAGGUCAUUCAGUUUGUGCAAUGUUCUGAGAUUUCACCUUUUAGGUCAUUAAUUUUGUUUAUGGCCCUCUAUGUGACACAUUUGUUUGAAUUUGACUGCACAAAUGUGGCAGUGCUACUAGCCUGAAUUGGUGCCUAUGAUUUUUAGAUGUAAAAUGGUUUGGAUAAGCAGGCAAUACGAUAACCUUUUAUAGCUUACAGUUAUAACGUCUUAACUGUUACUCUUUUGGCUUUCUGACUGCAGCAGGAAUGGCACAAUUGAGGGCAUUGUCCAUUUAAUGCCUGUUUCUGUUGAGUGUUCAAUGGUUUAAGUUCUCCUCUUCUUGGAUUUAGUUUGGAUAUAUGCUUCCAUUCUUGUCAACUGAGACGGCCUGAGAACACUGCAUUUGCCUUGGUGUUUUGAUUUGUCUUUCUUCUGCAACACAGACAUGAGAGUUCUCAUUGAGAUUCUACCCACUUACUCAGCAGUGCCUGCUGUACUUUGCUCAUGAAGGACUUCUUUUCUCCAUUUCUCUGUUAUGUAAGGAGGAGUAUAUAAGUAAGGUGUACUGCUGGGCUUGGACUAUGUCUUUCUGUUUCCAGCAGCUUGUCGAGUCAGUUUUACUCAAUACUUUUGGACUGAAAUUUAAGUCGUUCAGUUUAUACAACAUAUUGUACACCUUUUAUUUGUAGAUGUUGCUAUUGCCUUGCUUCUUCCGCAGUUUUCUUCUCUUCUUUUGUGUGGAUUGCAGCUAGCAAAAUGUAAAGUUCAUGGUGGGUCGGUUUGGAGGGUUCAUAUUUCACAAUUGUUAUUGUGUGGUUCACCCUAGAAUUUGAGUUUAACGCAUACUUGUGCAAUUUUGGUUAGGAGUAUCAUGCUUGUUUUUAUAUGUAAUUGCUAUGUUUUGAGGCUACUUAUUUUAUUUAACCCAUUAUUUGCCAUUUGAAAAUAAUGUUGGCAUCGACAGUUCCUAAUUACAAAUGCUUAUCACUGGUUACCGCCUAAUGCUUGCUUGGUUUUCGGUGUGAUUUCAGCUUCGUUUAUAUUUGUGAAACAAUAGUACAUCCAAAAGGAGAAGUUGUUGAGGCGACUAGUCAUGACUAGUCGAGACUAGUCGCGCGAGUCGCUCGACUCAUCCCAGGAGUCGAGUCGAGAGGCUGAGUCGGCCCUGGAACUGCGACUCGUGGUCGACGACGAUGACUAGUCGAGCGACUCGAAAUCCAUGGUUACCGCCUAUGCUUGCUUGGUUUUUGGUGUGAUUUCAGCUUCAUUUAUAUUUGUGUAUAUAUGCACCACCCAUGUUUUGUGAAACAAUAGUAACAAGACGCGGUGCUUGAAACUCAUGAGUAACAAGACAACGAAAAACCAUGACAGCCUAUAACACAGGCGAAGUAGUUGAGCUGAUAGUCAUGACAGCCUAUAACACAGGCGCGGUGCUUGAAACUCAUGAGUAACAAGACAACGAAAAACCAUGCUAAAGCUGGAGGGAUUCAUAGAAAAUGCAUAGGAAAAAAAUCCCUGAGAAAUCUACCUUCGCUACAUUUUGGAGUGUAUGGAAACAUCGGCCAUAUGGGUCCACCAAGUAGAGAACAUAAAUAUCCCCUGCUGUUUCUACUUUCAUCUGCUAGUUUUGAUGUUGUUUUGGAUAAUAGAUAACCUAGGCUUUGUAUCUGGUAGCAUUUAUUAGAGAUUCAGUCUAAUGUACUUCGCUGUAGCGGUGCUGCCAUGAAGUUCGGUUUAUAAACCUCUGUUGUGUAAACAUACUGUUGAUCUGCUGAACUAAAAUUAUGACCCUGUUUACCUGUGGUGGUGCACUUCACAACAAUUUUACUUGUUCUUUCAUAGUUCUACUCCUAUCGUAUAAAUGUUGAUGUCAUAACACUAGCUGCUGGCACCGUGGCACGCCUAUCUCUGGCUCAUGGAUGUAAAGGUCUACAUGUACAUCUCUGAAAAUACAAUUUAUAUUUCUUCC